rnacentral:tRNA from 1 species
GCAGUGGUGGUUCGGUGGCAGAAUUCUCACCUUCUGUGUGAAAGACCUGGGUUCGAUUCCCAGUCAAUGAA